CCUACGGGGGGCAGCAGUGGGGAAUAUUGGGCAAUGGGCGCAAGCCUGACCCAGCAACGCCGCGUGAAGGAAGAAGGCUUUCGGGUUGUAAACUUCUUUUAAGGGGGAAGAGCAGAAGACGGUACCCCUUGAAUAAGCCACGGCUAACUACGUGCCAGCAGCCGCGGUAAUACGUAGGUGGCAAGCGUUGUCCGGAUUUACUGGGUGUAAAGGGCGUGCAGCCGGAGAGACAAGUCAGAUGUGAAAUCCACGGGCUCAACCCGUGAACUGCAUUUGAAACUGUUUCCCUUGAGUGUCGGAGAGGUAAUCGGAAUUCCUUGUGUAGCGGUAAAAUGCGUAGAUAUAUGGAAGAACACCAGUGGCGAAGGCGGCCGCCUGGCCUGUUACUGACGCUGAGGCACGAAAGCGUGGGGAGCAAAUAGGAUUAGAUACCCUUGUAGUC
rnacentral:rRNA from 1 species